CUGAAAUAUUUUCAUUAUUUUGAAGUAAAUUCAAUUGCAAAAUUGUCUGUACAAUAAAUCAGAAUGAUGUAUGAGCAUUUGCAUCUGAAUGCGUAGACAUACAGUCACGCACACGAAGUCGUAGUCGAGUUGACCCGGGUUCAAGAGAGAUACAGAAUGUUCCAUUGAUUAUCAAAUAGGAUCCAAAAAUAGCUACAGAACCUGAGAUGAACAUAUUAGUUCUGAUUUACCAGUUCAUGAAACUGGGCACUAUUAGAUAUACAUUCUCCAUUAGUUCAAUCUAAGAUCCUUCAAUGAACCCUCAUAGCUUGUAAUCUAAACCAGAUCCAUAUUUCCAAGCCUCAAGAUGCCGUUUCCACUCAAACUUAAUCUUCGAUGGAAACACAUUUAAUAAUGGUCUUGCAGGAAAAGUCAGAAAUAUAAGCAAAUGCAUAGGAACAUUUUCCAAAUGCAAGUAAAUCUAAGAGAGGAAAACAAGGUUAUAUUACCUGAUUACAGGGUCGGCAAAGCUAGAGAGAAAAGUAUAGUAACUGAGCAUGAAAAAAUGGCCAGACCAGUCCAGAAGUACAGGAAUACCAACCUGCUUGAAUAUUGAUGGGAUAAUUUGAGGUUUAGUUAGCAUAACAAGGCCUAAUGUCUUGGCAAGGGGCUCUAACUGUAUAACAUCCUGAAGGAAUGGUCUUAGAACUGGAUCGCCCAGCUUCUGCAUGCUCUGGAAAUUGACAUGAAGAAGCUCAUUAAUAAAUUCUGGAGAAACAUUAGAGUUUUGCUUUGCUGACAUAGCUUUUUGAAAUAGCCAGGAAGCACUUAAAUUGGGCAUGUAUGGAUUUAGUAGAGACAAGCUGUCUGCAUCAAGAAAAUCACCAUUGAUCGCUUCAUAUAUUCCAGUUGAUAAUCUCCCAAGAUGCCUUGUCAAGCUCCCAAAACCACCAAAUGACACAGGUGACUGUAUGCCGCUAGCAUCACCAAACUGUAAGAUACGAUUGAAUGCUGCUGGCAAUGGACUGUCACGAUAUGUAGGGAAAAUUCCAUAUAUAACUCUCAGAAUCUCCAGAUUGUCAAGGGAGACUCCCUGAUAUUUAGGCAUCAAAUCCCAAUAGUCUUCUAAUAAUUCUUCCAAUUUGGGAGAUCCAGGUUGUGGAUUAACAUAGGUGAACAUAUAUGUAGUACGAUCUGUAGGACCAGAGCCAGCUGGAAAUGCCUCCCAAAAAUAUUGUACUUCCGAGUCUCCAAUUUUCUUAACAGAUGAACUACUAUAUAUGACAUCACUUGUAGAAUUAUCCUUAAAACCACGAGCACAAGACCCAACAACGAGGCAAACACCAUCAGGCUUCCUUCCUCUUCUUAUCUGCUUGACAACAGGUGAAAAGUUCCCCAUUGCAUCAACGAUAAGACGGGAUGACAGGGUAUUUCCCUCCACUAGCUGCAAGACUGCUGCAUCCUCAUAUACACGGAUGCUGGACACACUGUAGCCUUCUAAGAUUACUCCACCAAGAGAAAUAAAGCGUUUCUUCAUAGCCUCUAUGAGCUUUACAGGCCUGCAAUGAUAUAGAGAUGCAACUCAAAAUGUUUAUCUCUUGCAGAAGCAAGAUUAAUUCUCGUGAAGUAUCAGAACUCUGCACGAUAAUUUUCUUGCCCAACAUUCUAUCAAUCUCCAGGUUAAAGAGAUAAAUUUAUGAUUCAUCAACAUGCCACCAAAACCAAUAAAGGAUUGAGGACAAUUCUAGGAAAAAAAAAGUUUAUAAGAAUUAAUUGAAGCUUUUAAAAUUUUUGGAAGUAACCUUCAUCACAUAAUAAUGCACUGCAUGGAAAUAAGCUAAAUACAGUCAAACACAGUUUUAUAACACAAAAUUCUGUUUAAUCCAAUCCUUGAUUAGAAGUAACUAGGUGAUGCAAUGAUUUUUUUUUAUAAAUCAUGGAAAAGAGCUUUCAAACACAGAGACGUAGAAUUUUCGCAGAAUUUAUUAGAAAAAAAAAUCCACGCUUUCCUCAUGCUUAUAUGACUUUUAAUAUAUAUGCUGCAUAAUAAACCUAAAGUUCCAAACAAUAAGAGCACUUUUGAUAAAGCAUGAUACAGUGGUGGAUCUAGAAAAUUCAAUAAGCGGGCACAGCACACUUGUAUAUGCAUAUAUGGACGAUGCAUGUGUGCAUGCACACACAGGAAUAUUUAUGCUAACAAAAAUAAAUACAUCAACAUUAGAAAUAUUUUUUCUACAAAGCAAGAUUAUUAUUUUUUCUAUUUUAUAUAAUUUCACACUGGAAGAUAAUCAUUCUUUCAACAUUUUAAUUUUCAGAAUACUUAGUAUGUAAUUUAGUUUAAUGUUAAGCAAUGGAAAAGUGAAAUGACUUCAUUACAAUCCAUUACACUCCAUUAAGGCAUAACAAACCGGUACAGGGAUUUCAUUUCGACAACAAUUAGUUCUGUUGCUCUGAUCAGCUAUAUGGAAUGUGUGGUUACUAAAAUUAAAAGGAUAACUCACAAAACACCCAGAUUAAGAAUGUCUUCAACCCAGAUUUCGCCUUUAUCCUCAAAUCCACAUCUGUUCUGCACAGUUAACGAAAUUCCAAAAGAAAUAAGUUUGAGGACGUCAUAACCAAUGAGAUGACACAAAGGCAGCGUUGGCACUUGGAUGUUGUCAGGAUUGAACUUCACUGCUGUAGCUUGUUCAAUGUCAUCCUCUGUGAGAAUUCCAACUUCUACCAGCUCCAAGAGCUCUUUCUUCGAGAUAUUCCAUUCUUGUUCCCUCUAAUCAUUUACAAUAAUUGAUCUUUUAAAAUCAAUUCUUUAUGCCUAAAUUAUCUCUAGAAAGAACUCCACAGUAUAUUAUACCCCUUUUAGUAUAUUUCUUUCCACAAUGCCUACUUGAAGACCUUUGGCACUCAAUGCUGUGGCAAUGAAGAUCCCCAAAGUGCCUCCACAAACUACCACAUCAAAUCUGUCUCCUGCUUUGUCAGUCAGAUCAGAAUGACUGGACACAUGUGGAACACUUGAAACUACUUCUUGUGGUUCUUGGGAAACUGCUUGAGUAGAACAGAUGCUAGACCAGAUAUUGUCCAAUCUCUUUAGGGCAUUAUAAGAGUAUGCCCCACCAGCUCCACCAACUUCACCACUUACUGAAAUGCUUUCCAUUAUCCUCUGGGUUCUAGAGGGAACAGCUUGUGCUUGCAAGGAUAUUUUCCUUUGAGUUCUCUCCUUUCUUAUCUGAAGCAGUGGGCUCAUUUUUGGGUACUGAAAAACCCCAUUACAAUGUCCAAGCUGAGACAUUCCCCCCAUAUCGAACCAAAACAAAAAACAGCUGCUUUUCCCUCUUUCCCUCUGUUCAACUUAAUUACUCCAUAACUGUAUGUGUUACAGAACUAGACACGUUAACAACCAAAGCUAUCCUCUGAAAUCCGAAAUUUAUGCUGUUUCGUUCCUAUUAUAUGUGAAAACAAAAGAAGUUGAAAGGUAACCGAUAAAAAUGGUAACCGGUAACUUAGCAUCCGCGGGCCACAAGCUAAAAUUCAACUACUUGUGACUUAAAUAUGGAGCUCUCGCGGACAGUACUAAUCAGAUGAACCUCUGACCUUUACCCGGGUUUCAGAACGAACCUAAUUUUUGCUUUCUUCUUU
rnacentral:misc_RNA from 1 species